CCUACGGGAGGCAGCAGUGGGGAAUAUUGGACAAUGGGGGGAACCCUGAUCCAGCGACGCCGCGUGAGUGAAGAAGUAUUUCGGUAUGUAAAGCUCUAUCAGCAGGGAAGAAAGAAAUGACGGUACCUGACUAAGAAGCCCCGGCUAACUACGUGCCAGCAGCCGCGGUAAUACGUAGGGGGCAAGCGUUAUCCGGAUUUACUGGGUGUAAAGGGAGCGUAGACGGUUACGCAAGUCUGGAGUGAAAGGCGGGGGCUCAACCCCCGGACUGCUUGGGAAACUGUAUAACUGGAGUGCAGGAGAGGUAAGUGGAAUUCCUAGUGUAGCGGUGAAAUGCGUAGAUAUUAGGAGGAACACCAGUGGCGAAGGCGGCUUACUGGACUGUAACUGACGUUGAGGCUCGAUAGCGUGGGGAGCAAACAGGAUUAGAUACCCGUGUAGUC
rnacentral:rRNA from 1 species